CCCAUGGGUACAUGAAGGACUCAAAGUGGAAAAGGAAAAUGGAAGUGCAAAGAUAAAGUUAGAGAACUGUGGUGGCAUGACGGAGUACACAACGAGCGACCGGCCAAUGAAAAUAGUUAGAAACACCUCCAAACAAAUAGCGACUUAAAAUCUCAUUGUUGCCAGAUUCAGGGGUGGUUGAGACGUAGAUUGAGGUGUCCGCGUACUCCCAUAUUUUGGGCAGGUACUUUGACAUUCAGUAGUCAUAUCUUCCAUCCAGAGUUACUCCGUUGACGGUCAAGUUCUAAUUACGUGUAUAUGACUAUUCGUUGUGAAAUGUUGAGAUUCACUUGUCAAAUUAUAUGUAUGUAUAUAAUGGUUGAUGAUGGCAUUAGGAAUACAUGACUGGGUUUUAUGAGUUGUUUUCAAAGGAAUUGUAAUUAAGCAUUAUGAAUUUUGGAUUCUAAAGGAAUAUGGAUUAACGUAUAAGACCAUGUAAGUAGGCUUGCUUG
rnacentral:sRNA from 1 species